GAUGAACGCUGGCGGCGUGCCUAAUACAUGCAAGUCGAGCGAACAGACGAGGAGCUUGCUCCUCUGACGUUAGCGGCGGACGGGUGAGUAACACGUGGAUAACCUACCUAUAAGACUGGGAUAACUUCGGGAAACCGGAGCUAAUACCGGAUAAUAUAUUGAACCGCAUGGUUCAAUAGUGAAAGACGGUUUUGCUGUCACUUAUAGAUGGAUCCGCGCCGCAUUAGCUAGUUGGUAAGGUAACGGCUUACCAAGGCAACGAUGCGUAGCCGACCUGAGAGGGUGGUCGGCCACACUGGAACGGAGACGCGGUCCAGACGCCUACGGGAGGCAGCAGUAGGGAAUCGUCCGCAAUGGGCGAAAGCCUGACGGAGCAACGCCGCGUGAGUGAUGAAGGUCUUCGGAUCGUAAAACUCUGUUAUUAGGGAAGAACAAAUGUGUAAGUAACUAUGCACGUCUUGACGGUACCUAAUCAGAAAGCCACGGCUAACUACGUG
rnacentral:rRNA from 1 species